GAGCCCGUGGCUCAAUGGUAGAGCGUUCGACUCAAAUACCAAAGGUCGCGGGUUCGAAUCCUCCCGAUCACA
rnacentral:tRNA from 1 species